UUUCUCUAUCUCAGUGCCUCUUCUGAGGGGACUUUGCCCCCUUUCUGAAAGUUCCUGUUCCACCGAAGAGUGCCGAUUUCGGGCAACUGGACGAGAGGUUGAAAUCUUUACAAGCAGCUCCUCCUCCCUCGCUUUCCUGCCUUCUCACUGUCGCACCAGAUAUGUUGCCGCUCCACUCCUCCGCCGGGAAGAGGGACGCAGAGACAGGGCAGCAUCUGCCACUGCCACAGUUGCCUUCCCAACUUCCCAACAAGUGCAGCAACCCUAUCCUCAUGCACUCGCUGCAGCAAGUUUACGCCCUCUUCAGCCCAAUUGCUCCCGUCCCUCUUCUAAACCAUAAUCGAUUCCCCGAAGCAGCGGCUUCUUCCUUCUCCGUCUCAUUUCUUCUCUCUUUUCGCAGGUGUUCUUCCUGUGCAUCUGCUCAGAUCAGGCAUGAUAUUUUCUUCCUGAUUUAGAGUAUUGGUUCCCAUUCAUAAUGAUAUCACUGUGUGUUCUGUUGUGUAAUUUACUUUUAUAUUGUUCCUUAUAGCCAAUUACCACCAUAUGUGACCAAUUACGAUUGCUAUUGUUUCGUUAAGAUAGGUCCUCUGAUACCCGCAGAUCAAUCGAGCAGAGAGUGGAGGAUUUCCAAGUAAUGGCAGAUGGAAAGGUGCCUCACUUGCUUAUGCCAUUCAGAAGUAAGUCAAGUGUGGGUUUUCAGACAAUAAAUACCUUCUUGGUUUUACUGUGCUUAGGUGUUUGUGACUUUGUUCAUACUCUAAAUUCGUUUUAUAUUCCUAUUGUUGUAUUCUUGAUUUUCUUUGUUGUAAAUACUGAAUAUGGCAUUCCAGGGAUUGGUCAUUCCUUCAUAUGUCAAACAUUUUAGACAGACGGAUUGUUAUUCUUCUUUAAGUUGUUGCUUAUGAAUGUAUCCUGGCUUAAUUUCUUUGACUCCACGAUCAAGUUAUGUCAGUGAUUUUUUUCAUACGAUUUAGGUGGCAAUGGUCGGCUAUUUUGAACUGGUCAGGAAUUAAUUAGCAUACCUGCCUAAAAAUCAAACCGUAGGAGGUUUAGAAAAUUGAUGCUCUGGUAGUUUAGCUUUAUCUGCCGAUGCUGUAUGAUGUUCUGGAAAUAUAUAUGCUGAUCAGGAAAGCUGUUGUUUUCCUCAUAAUGUUUCCGUAGAUAACUGGUAGUGAUGCAUAUUGGCUACUAUAUAUCUUGAUCUGGGCAAAAGGCAUUAAACCUUUGGAAGAGGAGAGAGACAGCUGGAUCUGGGCUAAAGGCAUUAAACCUUGUAUCAAUUGUAAGUUGUUCAAAGGGCUGUUAUGAUGCAACAACUCAUGUAGCUCUUGCACCUUUGCUUUUAGCGUGCACAUGCUACUUGCUUCUUUACCUUCUCGAGCACAGAAAAUGACAAAACCGGACAAUGCUUAAGUGAGGGCACUUGAUAUAUCAAGUUGAAAGAAAUUUUUUUAUUUAAAUGCAUGCAAAUGUACUUCAUUUUGGUGUACAUGUGUAUUUGUAAGAGUCCAAAUCAAGUUGAAUAAAGAAAUUCUAUGUUAAUGUA